rnacentral:rRNA from 1 species
UUUUUUUUGAUCAAAGGGGCGUUCAAAGAUUAAGCCAUGCAUGUCUAAGUAUAAGCAAUCUAUACUGUGAAACUGCGAAUGGCUCAUUAAAUCAGUUAUCGUUUAUUUGAUAGUACCUUACUACUUGGAUAACCGUGGUAAUUCUAGAGCUAAUACAUGCUAAAAACCCCGACUUCGGAAGGGGUGUAUUUAUUAGAUAAAAAACCAAUGCCCUUCGGGGCUCCUUGGUGAAUCAUGAUAACUUAACGAAUCGCAUGGCCUUGCGCCGGCGAUGGUUCAUUCAAAUUUCUGCCCUAUCAACUUUCGAUUGUAGGAUAGUGGCCUACAAUGGUUUCAACGGGUAACGGGGAAUUAGGGUUCUAUUCCGGAGAGGGAGCCUGAGAAACGGCUACCACAUCCAAGGAAGGCAGCAGGCGCGCAAAUUACCCAAUCCCGAUACGGGGAGGUAGUGACAAUAAAUACUGAUACAGGGCUCUUUUGGGUCUUGUAAUUGGAAUGAGUACAAUUUAAAUACCUUAACGAGGAACAAUUGGAGGGCAAGUCUGGUGCCAGCAGCCGCGGUAAUUCCAGCUCCAAUAGCGUAUAUUAAAGUUGUUGCAGUUAAAAAGCUCGUAGUUGAACCUUGGGCCUGGCUGGCCGGUCUGCCUCACCGCAUGUACUGGUUCGGCCGGGUCUUUCCUCCUGGGGAUCCGCAUGCCCUUCACUGGGUGUGUUGGGGAACCAGGACUUUUACUUUGAAAAAAUUAGAGUGUUCAAAGCAGGCCUUUGCUCGAAUACAUUAGCAUGGAAUAAUAGAAUAGGACGUGCGGUCCUAUUUUGUUGGUUUCUAGGACCGCCGUAAUGAUUAAUAGGGAUAGUCGGGGGCAUCAGUAUUCAGUUGUCAGAGGUGAAAUUCUUGGAUUUACUGAAGACUAACUACUGCGAAAGCAUUUGCCAAGGAUGUUUUCAUUAAUCAGUGAACGAAAGUUAGGGGAUCGAAGACGAUCAGAUACCGUCGUAGUCUUAACCGUAAACUAUGCCGACUAGGGAUCGGGCGAUGUUAUUCUUUUGACUCGCUCGGCACCUUACGAGAAAUCAAAGUCUUUGGUUCUGGGGGAGAUGCCCGCUAACGGAAUGAAAUUGCC